GCGAAUAGGUCGACAUAAAUU
rnacentral:sRNA from 1 species